UUCUCACAGGCUGCAUCUUUAUAAAGCAGGGCAAAGUGAAGAAAGAGUUUAUCAGGAACCAGGCACUGGGACAGGAGCAUACACCAUGAUUUCACACAUACAACUGAUCUGGCCUCUGGCAUUCUGCGUCGCAGGUAUCAGUGGGGACAUCACCAUGAGCCAGUCUCCCCCAGUGCUGUCAGUGGGACUGGGUCAGACCGCAACCAUCACCUGUACGGCCAGCCAAAGCAUUGGCAAUAACAUUGCUUGGUACCAGCAGCGAGAAGGACAGAAACCCUCUCUCCUGAUCUAUGAAGCAACAGAUCGAUUCACAGGAAUCUCCGAGCGAUUCAGUGGCAGUGGAUCAGGGACUAGUUUCACCCUGACAAUCAGCAAUGUUCAGAAUGAGGAUGUCACUGACUAUUACUGUCAGCAGUAUCAGAGCUAUGCCUAUACGUUCGGUAAAGGAACCAAGCUCAGACUGAGCCGUGACAGGUCUCAGCCCAAGCUGACCCUGCUGCCCCCCUCCCCGGAGCAGGUUCAGACCAAGGGCACUGCCACCCUGGUGUGCCUCGCCAAUCACUUCUAUCCUGAUGAGCUGGUGGUGCAGUGGAAGAAGGAUGGUGCAAUCAUUUCAGACGGGGUUCAGACCAGCAACUACUUGCUAGCUUCGGACAGCACCUACAGUGUCAGCAGCCUGCUGACCCUCUCUGGCUCUGACUGGGAGUCCAACGCUCGCUUCUCCUGUGCCCUGACCCACGUCACCCUCCCCUCUCCCCUCAGCAAGACCAUCAGGAGAUCAGAAUGUGUGUAGUGUGUUUGAGACAGUCCACAGAGGGGACACAACUUUAAAUAGAACAGGGCUGAGCUGGCAGGACAAAGGUCAUUGUCAGUACAGAAUUUCAACUCUCUUCCUUCUCGCGACUGGUUUGGAGACCCUUCUGAGGUUCAGGGGUUAAGACAGGUCAUUGGGGCAGUGUAGAGGGUGCUUUACUCUGUUUCUCACCCCAUGCUGUCCCUGUCCUGGAAGUGUUUGAUGGAGACAGUGUUGAGGUGUGAUGCCAAGUAAAAUCUCUCAAAGUUGCUGAAGACUGCCAGCUGUACAAAAAUCUCUGAUGAAGGGUCUAGGUCCGAAACGUCAGCUUUUGUGCUCCUGAGAUGCUGCUUGGACUGCUGUGUUCAUCUAGCUUCACACUUUGUUAUCUUGAACCUCAGAAGUCUGUGCUUCAGUAAGCCAGAACUCCUUCCUGCUCAGCUGCCAGUUCCAAUUUAAAGUUUUGUCACAGCUUAAAAUGACACAACUCUAAUGUUAUUGAGAAAAUCUCCUCAAGUGUUUUCCUCAAGCUCCAUUAUGGCUGUGAAUUUGUGCACUUCCUCUGUCUGGGCUGUUAAUUGCAGUCUUUUUUUGUCAAUGUCAAUCUGGAAAAUGGAAUAAAGAUGAAGAAGAUUCA